CAAUUUGAUUGGCCUACAGGCUUUGCUGUUGUCAUUUCUCUCUGUACUAAAUGGCGUUGGCGACAUAAAUCACACAAAAGCAUACAAAAUCCGACUGUUGCCUAAGUUAUAUAUAACUUCACUUGAAUUAUAAAGACGUUACAGGAGUAUGCUAUAUAAAAUGUCAUCUUACCUUGGAGUUGCUGUCUUGUUGUUUCUCAUAUGCGAAGCCAGAUUAGACGCGAUAUUCCACUUAAAUCGAGGGCUGAAAGAUAAAUUUACAAAUCCUCAAUGUGCGAGAAAUACGGAUUGCUCAGUGGGUCAGUGUGCACAAUAUUUCGCAAGAUGUGAAACGGAGUCUUGUACGGUUUGUGUAUGCGACGAGCAAAGCCCGACCUAUGUCGCAAACGAGAAGAGAUGUGUGAAAGACGAUGAUAUCUUUCCUCGAACGG